UCUACCUUCACAAAAGUCUAAAUAACUACAGGGAGAGAAAAGGGAAUGGUCUUGUGGUGUAAUAUAACUGUUGAAAAGAUUUGAACAACUUGGAGAGCAUAAAAAUUGCUAUUUAUUUACUCGAUAGUCAGCAUCUGACUAUUAAGGUAGAUUGGCAUGUACAUCUCCCCUUUCUCAUGCCCUUCCCCUUCCACCCUUUCUCAAUAAAUAUAGUUUUUUUUUUUUUGGUGUGUGUGUAAAGAUGUUUGCACAACUCAAACCCAUAACCUUCACAUCACAAUGGAACAAACUUACCAUGUGCCAAGGUUUUCCUCCUAUAUCAGAAGUAAGAACACAAAGGUAAAAGAAAAUUUAAAAGGAAAGGAAAAAGAACCAUUUGUUAUAGGAAAUUAACCAUGUAAUAAUGUAAAUAUCGUUCCCUAGUUUAGCUAACAUAGUUAUAGGGAUAUAUUAGCAUAGUUAUAAACUAUUUGUUACAGAAAGUCAACUAUGUAAUUAUGUAAAUAUUGUUUUCUAGUUUAGCUACCAUAGUUAUAGGUACAUAUUAGCAUAGUUAUAAGGAUGUAUUCCCAUUUAGAUUACAAAAUUUUAAGGCAUUCUUAUGUGUGUGUGUGUGUGUG
rnacentral:misc_RNA from 1 species